AAGUAAAAGUCGUAACAAGGUCUCCGUAGGUGAACCUGCGGAGGGAUCAUUACACAAAUAUGAAGGCGGGCUGGAACCUCUCGGGGUUACAGCCUUGCUGAAUUAUUCACCCUUGUCUUUUGCGUACUUCUUGUUUCCUUGGUGGGUUCGCCCACCACUAGGACAAACAUAAACCUUUUGUAAUUGCAAUCAGCGUCAGUAACAAAUUAAUAAUUACAGCUUUCAACAACGGAUCUCUUGGUUCUGGCAUCGAUGAAGAACGCAGCGAAAUGCGAUAAGUAGUGUGAAUUGCAGAAUUCAGUGAAUCAUCGAAUCUUUGAACGCACAUUGCGCCCUUUGGUAUUCCAAAGGGCAUGCCUGUUCGAGCGUCAUUUGUACCCUCAAGCUUUGCUUGGUGUUGGGCGUCUUGUCUCUAGCUUUGCUGGAGACUCGCCUUAAAGUAAUUGGCAGCCGGCCUACUGGUUUCGGAGCGCUGCACAAGUCGCACUCUCUAUCAGCAAAGGUCUAGCAUCCAUUAAGCCUUUUUUUCAACUUUUGACCUCGAAUCAGGUAGGGAUACCCGC
rnacentral:rRNA from 1 species